AUGAAGCCGGAAUCGCUAGUAAUCGCGAAUCAGCAUGUCGCGGUGAAUACGUUCCCGGGCCUUGUACACACCGCCCGUCACACCAUGAGAGUUGGCAAUACCCAACGUACGUGAUCUAACCCGCGAGGGAGGAAGCGUCCUAAGGUAGGGUCAGCGAUUGGGGUGAAGUCGUAACAAGGUAGC
rnacentral:rRNA from 1 species